GAGGGUAUAGCUCAGUGGUAGAGCACGUGCUUAGCAUGCACAAGGUCCUGGGUUCAGUCCCCAGAGCCUCCA
rnacentral:tRNA from 1 species